rnacentral:lncRNA from 1 species
AGACACCAAGUUCAGUACACAAGGAGGGCAGGAGGUGCUCCAUGUACCGGAGCUGAAGUUUCUCUGUGGUAGAGAGCGACUGUAAAGGAGCAGCAGAGGAGAAGAGCUAGUGACUGACCACAGUCUCCAUUCCCUGUUCCCUUGCACUGCUUGGGGAGGGGAGGGGGAAGAGGGUAGGGGGGGGGAAUUUUUUUCAGUUUUUUUCUUUUUUUUUUUUUUUUUUUUUUCUCACUUCUGUAGCUUGUUAGUAAGGCAAUAAAUUUUACGAAUCUCCCUAUGCUGAAUCUGUUUUGCCCAUCAUGAUAACUGUUGAGUGAUCUCCCUGCUCUUAUCUCAACACUUAAGUCCUUUCCCUUUGAGGAGGGGGAGUGAGAGAGGCGGAGCUCAGCUGCCCGCCUGAGUAAAACCACCACAACAUGGUGGAAAGAUUAUCAGAGAAAGAACAUCCUUAGCUUUGAUGUUACAGUUCAAAGGCAUAGAGAAUGGUAGAUUAGACAGUACCCCCAGAAAAGAGAUAGAACCAUUCAUAGCACAGUUGGAUAAGCAUGUGUAAUGUCGUGGAUGUAGAUGCGAACCUCAUGAGAAGCAGAUAUAAAAAGAAGAUACCGUUCAAGGCCAACGGAUGAAGGAAGAACGAACAACUCGUUAACGAAGAAUGAACAACUUGUUGGCAGGAAACAAGGCAAAGAUAAGCAAAAAAGGCCUAAAUACUGUCCAACAGAAGGUCAAAGUCCAGAAAGCUUCAGCUGGUGACAACUCAUCAACAAAAAUGGUCUAAAUCUGUUCCUGGAGACCUGAAGUAGAUGAAAAGAUCAAUCACUGAAGCAGAUGGAAUAAGGAUAGAGGAGUUCUUGGAUUUCAGUUUAUCUCUCUAUAUCAGUUAAGCAGUUCUGCUCCAAACCUUUGUGGCUUAUGACACCUAAAUCAGGAAUGAAGAACUACACAACUUAUUAAAGUUUGUAUCCUUCUCUCUGUGACCGUGCCAGAAUAUUGCAGAAAUGACAGAAAAUGCAUUGCUAAACUACGACCUGGAGUAAAUAUAACAUAUGUUGCAAGUGUAUCUACUAGAACACAGGAAGUCCUAAUUUAGUUGCUUAAACUUGGUUCAUCAGUAGGUGCCCACAAAUUUAAGGCCAUUGGGAUUUCUGGAAGUCUAUUUGCAGUUUCAAACAACAUAAAUAAAUAAUAGCUGAAUUUGGAUCUCA